UACGAAGGGGGCUAGCGUUGUUCGGAAUUACUGGGCGUAAAGCGCGUGUAGGCGGGGCUUUAAGUCAGGGGUGAAAUGCCAAGGCUCAACCUUGGAACUGCCUUUGAUACUGGAGACCUUGAGUCCGGGAGAGGUGAGUGGAAUUGCGAGUGUAGAGGUGAAAUUCGUAGAUAUUCGCAAGAACACCAGUGGCGAAGGCGGCUCACUGGCCCGGAACUGACGCUGAGACGCGAAAGCUAGGGGAGCAAACAGG
rnacentral:rRNA from 1 species